rnacentral:rRNA from 1 species
GAUGAACGCUGGCGGCGUGCCUAAUACAUGCAAGUCGAGCGAACAGACGAGGAGCUUGCUCCUCUGACGUUAGCGGCGGACGGGUGAGUAACACGUGGAUAACCUACCUAUAAGACUGGGAUAACUUCGGGAAACCGGAGCUAAUACCGGAUAAUAUAUUGAACCGCAUGGUUCAAUAGUGAAAGACGGUUUUGCUGUCACUUAUAGAUGGAUCCGCGCCGCAUUAGCUAGUUGGUAAGGUAACGGCUUACCAAGGCAACGAUGCGUAGCCGACCUGAGAGGGUGAACGGCCACACUGGAAAUGAGACACAGUACAGACUCCUACGGGAGGCAGCAGUAGGGAAUCUUCCGCAAUGGGCGAAAGCCUGACGAGGCAACGCCGCGUGGGUGAUGAAGGUCUUCGGAUCUUAAAACUCUGUUAUUAGGGAAGAACAAAUGUGUAAGUAACUAUGCACGUCUUGACGGUACCUAAUCAGAAAGCCACGGCUAACUACGGG